rnacentral:tRNA from 1 species
UCCGGGAUCGUCUAACGGCAGGACGCGGGCCUUUGGAGCCCGCUAUCUAGGUUCGAAUCCUAGUCCCGGAACAA